UUGGAGGGCAAGUCUGGUGCCAGCAGCCGCGGUAAUUCCAGCUCCAAUAGCGUAUAUUAAAGUUGUUGCAGUUAAAAAGCUCGUAGUUGAAUUUCGGGAUCAGAGUGUCGGUCGUGCCUCGGUACGCACUGGUAUUAUUGGUUCCUACCUUCUGAAGAACCGCGAUGUCAUUAAUUUGGUGUCGUGGGGAAUCAGGACUGUUACUUUGAAAAAAUUAGAGUGUUUAAAGCAGGCUUACGCUUGAAUACAUUAGCAUGGAGUAAUGAAAUAGGACGUUUGAUUCUAUUUUGUUGGUUUCUAGGAUUGACGUAAUGAUUAAUAGGGAUAGUUGGGGGCAUUAGUAUUCAAUUGUCAGAGGUGAAAUUCUUGGAUUUAUUGAAGACUAACUACUGCGAAAGCAUUUGCCAAGGACGUUUUCAUUAAUCAAGAACGAAAGUUAGGGGAUCGAAGACGAUCAGAUACCGUCGUAGUCUUAACCAUAAACUAUGCCGACUAGGGAUCGGAUGAUGUUAAUUUUUUGAUGACUCAUUCGGCGCCUUACGGGAAACCAAAGUGUUUGGGUUC
rnacentral:rRNA from 1 species